rnacentral:rRNA from 1 species
GAUGAACGCUGGCGGCGUGCCUAAUACAUGCAAGUCGAGCGAACAGACGAGGAGCUUGCUCCUCUGACGUUAGCGGCGGACGGGUGAGUAACACGUGGAUAACCUACCUAUAAGACUGGGAUAACUUCGGGAAACCGGAGCUAAUACCGGAUAAUAUAUUGAACCGCAUGGUUCAAUAGUGAGAGACGGUUUUGCUGUCACUUAUAGAUGGAUCCGCGCCGCAUUAGCUAGUUGGUAAGGUAACGGCUUACCAAAGCGACGAUGCGUAGCCGACCUGAGAGGGUGAUCGGCCACACUGGAACUGAGACACGGUCCAGACUCCUACGGGAGGCAGCAGUAGGGAAUCUUCCGCAAUGGGCGAAAGCCUGACGGAGCAACGCCGCGUGAGUGAUGAAGGUCUUCGGAUCGUAAAACUCUGUUAUUAGGGAAGAACAAAUGUGUAAGUAACUAUGCACGUCUUGACGGUACCUAAUCAGAAAGCCACGGCUAACUACGUG